rnacentral:rRNA from 1 species
CUAUACAUGCAGUCGAGCGGACCGACGGGAGCUUGCUCCCUUAGGUCAGCGGCGGACGGGUGAGUAACACGUGGGUAACCUGCCUGUAAGACUGGGAUAACUCCGGGAAACCGGGGCUAAUACCGGAUGCUUGAUUGAACCGCAUGGUUCAAUCAUAAAAGGUGGCUUUUAGCUACCACUUGCAGAUGGACCCGCGGCGCAUUAGCUAGUUGGUGAGGUAACGGCUCACCAAGGCGACGAUGCGUAGCCGACCUGAGAGGGUGAUCGGCCACACUGGGACUGAGACACGGCCCAGACUCCUACGGGAGGCAGCAGUAGGGAAUCUUCCGCAAUGGACGAAAGUCUGACGGAGCAACGCCGCGUGAGUGAUGAAGGUUUUCGGAUCGUAAAACUCUGUUGUUAGGGAAGAACAAGUACCGUUCGAAUAGGGCGGCACCUUGACGGUACCUAACCAGAAAGCCACGGCUAACUACGUGCCAGCAGCCGCGGUAAUACGUAGGUGGCAAGCGUUGUCCGGAAUUAUUGGGCGUAAAGCGCGCGCAGGCGGUUUCUUAAGUCUGAUGUGAAAGCCCCCGGCUCAACCGGGGAGGGUCAUUGGAAACUGGGGAACUUGAGUGCAGAAGAGGAGAGUGGAAUUCCACGUGUAGCGGUGAAAUGCGUAGAGAUGUGGAGGAACACCAGUGGCGAAGGCGACUCUCUGGUCUGUAACUGACGCUGAGGCGCGAAAGCGUGGGGAGCGAACAGGAUUAGAUACCCUGGUAGUCCACGCCGUAAACGAUGAGUGCUAAGUGUUAGAGGGUUUCCGCCCUUUAGUGCUGCAGCAAACGCAUUAAGCACUCCGCCU